rnacentral:rRNA from 1 species
AUACGGAGGAUCCGAGCGUUAUCCGGAUUUAUUGGGUUUAAAGGGAGCGCAGGCGGAGAUGCAAGCGUGACGUCAAAUUUCGGGGCUCAACCCCGUCUCGCGUCGCGAACUGCGUCCCUUGGUUGCGGGAAGGGGAGGCGGAACUCGUGGUGUAGCGGUGAAAUGCAUAGAUAUCACGAAGAACUCCGAUCGCGAAGGCAGCCUUCCGGCCCGUCAACGACGCUCAUGCUCGAAGGUGCGGGUAUCAAACAGGAUUAGAUACCCUGGUAGUCCGCACAGUAAACGAUGGACACCCGCGGUUUGGCCUGUAUGGCUGAGCCGCCAAGCGAAAGCGUUAAGUGUCCCACCUGGGGAGGACGCCGGCAACGGUGAAACUCAAAUGAAUUGGCGGGG